rnacentral:lncRNA from 1 species
AAAGACCUUGCUACUUAUAAUUCAGAAUAGUUGGAACUUUCCAUAAUAAAGAUUUUAGAGUUCAAAAUGAGCAAGAGUUAGGUAAGCGGUUCAUCUCAGCGAAGUUUAUUUCUGCCUGAAUGUGCCAUGUGUUUCAGAGAAGUUAAGAAAUUGGCUGAAAUCAGUCCCAACGCUACAACAUUCUGGAAAUUGCUUUUCUUUUGAAGAAUGGAGCCUACGAACUUGGAGGACACCUGCAGCGUCUGAGACUCUGCAUCCAACUUUUCCAUGUGCUUUUUUUCAAUUCCCCCACUGUGCACCAACCACAGGCAACACCAUUGCACUGGAUAAUGACGGCUCCGACCCUCAGAAUCUUUCACAAUCUGAGUUGAUCAUAAUUUUACCAUACCAUGAAGCAUGAAGUAAAAUGCCUGUGAGAAGUUUCAUGCGCAAUCUGGAAUGAGAACUGCUACACAGAAUUUCAUAAUUCAAAAAAUUACAAGUGGUGAUAACGGCUUGCAUGUUGCGGCACCUGAAGAUUUCAAAUCUCUACUCACAGGUUGUCAAGCCUAGUACUGGGAAGUGAGAGUGGAUUUCUUCUUCCCUUUCAUGCUUCCCCGAACAACAGGACCCUCAGAGAGUACUGCCCAGGAGCCACGACAGUGAAUCCAAUGGUGGACAGUGACAAGAAGGAUCAAGAGAGAAUCUUCUCACGGCCCAUUCCUUAACAGGGAAUGUCCCAUGUCAGCUGGAUAGUCCUGGGGACCACUGGUGAUAAAG